rnacentral:rRNA from 1 species
GACGAACGCUGGCGGCGUGCUUAACACAUGCAAGUCGAGCGGAAAGGCCACUUCGGUGGUACUCGAGCGGCGAACGGGUGAGUAACACGUGAGUAAUCUGCCCCUGGCUUUGGGAUAGCCACCGGAAACGGUGAUUAAUACCGGAUAUGCACUGCUUCUCGCAUGGGUUGUGGUGGAAAGUUUUUCGGCCAGGGAUGUGCUCGCGGCCUAUCAGCUUGAUGGUGAGGUAAUGGCUCACCAUGGCUUCGACGGGUAGCCGGCCUGAGAGGGUGACCGGUCACACUGGGCCUGAGACACGGCCCAGACUCCUACGGGAGGCAGCAGUGGGGAAUAUUGGACAAUGGGCGGAAGCCUGAUCCAGCAACGCCGCGUGAGGGAUGACGGCCUUCGGGUUGUAAACCUCUUUCAGCAGGGACGAAGCGCAAGUGACGGUACCUGCAGAAGAAGCACCGGCCAACUACGUGCCAGCCGCCGCGGUAACAC